rfam:Parcubacteria (Magasanikbacteria) bacterium GW2011_GWC2_37_14 TS42_C0014, whole genome shotgun sequence.
UACACCGCCUGGGGAGUACGGCCGCAAGGUUAAAACUCAAAGGAAUAGACGGGGACCCGCACAAGCGGAGGAUCAUGCGGUUUAAUUCGAUGGUACGCGGCGAACCUUACCUGGGCUCAACUACUAACUGCAAGCCUCUGGAAACAGAGGAUUCCUUAGAGGGUGUUAGAUAGGUGCUGCAUGGUUGCCGUCAGCUCGUGCCGUGAGGUGUACAGUUAAGUCUGGUAACGAGCGCAACCCCUAUGCUGUGUUAAAUGCACACAGCAGACUGCCUGUUUAAACAGGAGGAAGGCGGGGAUGACGUCAAAUCAGCAUGGCUCUUACGUCCAGGGCCACACGCAUGAUACAAUGGCCGGUACAGAGGGUUGCGAAGCCGUAAGGUGGAGCUAAUCCCAGAAAGCCGGUCUCAGUUCGGAUUGAGGGCUGCAACUCGUCCUCAUGAAGCUGGAUUCGCUAGUAAUUGCGCAUCAGAACGGCGCAGUGAAUACGUUCUCGGGUCUUGUACUCACCGCCCGUCACACCACGAAAGUUGGCAAUGUCCAAAAGCUCCUUACGGGGACUAAGGCAGGGUCAAUGAUCAGGGUGAAGUCGUAACAAGGCAUCCCUAGCGGAAGCUGGGGAUGGAUCACCUCCUUU